GCAUUUCAGCAAACCCUGUCCUGUCUCAGUGCUGGUCUUGGGUUAAAAAGUGCUAAAGUACCUCAGAGUGUAUCCAGACGAGUCUCCUCUAUUGGAACUUGUCUCUACAAACUUUGAAACAACC